rnacentral:misc_RNA from 1 species
GAUGAAGAACGUAGCGAAAUGCGAUACUUGGUGUGAAUUGCAGAAUCCCGUGAACCAUCGAGUCUUUGAACGCAAGUUGCGCCUCAAGCCAUUAGGUUGAGGGCACGUCUGCCUGGGCGUCACAUAUCGUUGCCUGAUGCCAGUUUCCUCGUGAUGGGUGACUGUGCAGGGCGAAUGAUGGCUUCCCGUGAGCAUUGUUGCCUCAUGGUUGGUUGAAAAUUGAGUCCUUGGUAGGGAGCGCCGUGAUAGAUGGUGGUUGAGUGACGAACGAGACCCAAUCAUGUGAGACCCCUACCGAAUUUGGCCGUCAUGACCCACAUGCGUCUUUGGAACGCUCAUGACGAGACCUCAGGUCAGGCGGGGAUACCCGCUGAGUUUAAGCAUAUCAAUAAGCGGAGGA